rnacentral:lncRNA from 1 species
GAAAAGGGCGUGACCAGGAGGUCACCCCUGUGCGACGCAUGACAAGGAAGAAGGAGAAGGAGACUGAUUUCACAUGAGGAUCACGAAAUUGGAGGGUUGUAGUCUCGAUUAUGUCUUCUUUGCUUGAUUCUAAGGCUCUAGUGGCAUAACGUUUGGAUGGCAACAGGUCAAACGGGUGAUAAAGCAACAACAUUCCUACGGGCAAAGGGAUAUACAUGAGAUAUAAAAAAGGGGCAUCCAUAUUAGAAUGGAGAAAGUCACAAAAUGUGUGACUCGAGAUAAUGAAGUGGUGGCUCGAUAUUGUUUCGUUGGGCAUUAUGAGCAUUGAAUACUCCGUUAUGUUUGGUGAUAAGUCAUGAAAAUCAACGGGGUGACUUGAACCAGAAUCAUGAAAGAAGAAAACAUCUCACAAGUCAUUCACCAAUAAUUCGAUUCGGGUGGUAGGAAGGCGAAAGUGAUCAAGUUUUUGAAGCGGGUCAAUGAUGUGAAGAUUUAGUGAUGCCUUGUUCACUAAGUAAUAUGGGUUUUCUUAUUGGGUCAACUUGACUUAGUUAGUUGCAUUUUAGAGUUUAACUUUAAUGUUUAUUUUAGCCAAGUGCUAGUAUGUCAAUGUAGUAGUGGGUUAUAUUUGUUUUAUAAAAACCUUGGUUAAUAAGCAGGUAUUGUUU